AACGAACGCUGGCGGCAGGCUUAACACAUGCAAGUCGAGCGCCCCGCAAGGGGAGCGGCAGACGGGUGAGUAACGCGUGGGAAUCUACCCAUCACUACGGAACAACUCCGGGAAACUGGAGCUAAUACCGUAUACGUCCUUCGGGAGAAAGAUUUAUCGGUGAUGGAUGAGCCCGCGUUGGAUUAGCUAGUUGGUGGGGUAAUGGCCUACCAAGGCGACGAUCCAUAGCUGGUCUGAGAGGAUGAUCAGCCACAUUGGGACUGAGACACGGCCCAAACUCCUACGGGAGGCAGCAGUGGGGAAUAUUGGACAAUGGGCGCAAGCCUGAUCCAGCCAUGCCGCGUGAGUGAUGAAGGCCCUAGGGUUGUAAAGCUCUUUCACCGGAGAAGAUAAUGACGGUAUCCGGAGAAGAAGCCCCGGCUAACUUCGUGCCAGCAGCCGCCGUAACAC
rnacentral:rRNA from 1 species